UGCAGGGCAGCUGCAGAUGCCUGUGCCCACAGCACAAGGGACUGGGGAGGGAUUUUGGCUCACCCCAGUGUGAAUGGGGGUGAGCUGCCUGCUCUGCUGGUCUCCCACUCGGCUGCAGGGCUUGAAGGUUUCUGGCAAGACAAAAGCCUCCUGACACCCUGGCAUGUUCAUUGCAUCAGGAGUCUACACGGUGUGGUUUUGCUUUCAGAUGAAAACAUUUUCAAGCUCCACUCCCAGGGCAGAUCUCCUGCCUAUCUGUAGUUUACCUCUCAGCUCCUGCAUGAGGGCAGGGAGCAAGAUGCUGGCCAGUGACACAGCUGCCUCCUGGCUGGGGGAGUGUGGGAUCCUGUCCCCCUGCACUAGGGAGAAAUUAAAGGUAACCCUCCUUGAGCAGGGAAUGCUGAACAAGAUGCUCUGAUCCACCACAGGAGCUAGGAUUAGGUGCUGGUUCUUCACACUGCAUUUCUGCACAUUCUGGAUAGUCAUAAGCUGCUCUGAAAUGUUAACUGAGAACACGAGCUCAUGAGCCCAGUAAUUUGGAAG